rnacentral:lncRNA from 1 species
UAAAUUGAAUUCUAAGUUGAGGUUUUGUUUUCUGUUAGUCCAGAUUAUGUUAGUUGCAUUAGUAUAGGAUAGAUAUCAUGCAUUGCUUUCUUUCCAUUCAUUUAUUAGUUUUACUUAGAUAUAUGCAUUACUAAUUAGUUACUCUCUUUAGAUUCCAUUUAAUUUUUCUUUUUCCCACCUAGUUUUAGUUUUAAUAAAUAAAAAUUAGGUUUUAAUUCUACAAUUCCAGCC